rnacentral:tRNA from 1 species
GGGGCCGUGGGGUAGCCUGGUCAUCCUUCCGGCUUUGGGAGCCGGUGACCCGAGUUCAAAUCUCGGCGGCCCCA